GUACUACAGUGGAAAUCAACCAAUCUCUCAGAAUCAUCUAGUGAAUUUUAUUUUCUAGCACUACUUACAUAUUUUUACUUGAGACAAGUUGAGAAGCAUAUACAUGCAACGUUUUAUCGGAUAUUAUCGUGUAUUUAUCAUGUAAUUUAUUUCCCAUCAUGAGUGAAAAGGUAAAGCAAUACAUAUGUGGCUGUUGUAACUGGGUAUUAAAAGAAAAUCAAGUCGCCUCACAUACAUGUUUGACAAUUUUUGAUAAAGAUAAGUGUUGGUUGCAGAUGAUAAAAGACAUAUUUUCAUACAAGAUACUGAUUUAAAUCAAGAAAAUGAUAAAGAAGAAAACAGUACAAAAACAUUAGAAAAUGAAGAGGCAGAAAAUAUGCACAGUAAUGCAUUCUAUUACACAAAUAAACAAGCACUUGAUGAAGAUUUAAUAAAUGCUGUUCAAAAGAGACCUCCAUUAUAUGAUUAUCAAAUGCCUUUAAAAGAACAAACUCGACAAAAAAAUGAUUUAUGGAAGAAAGUAACUGAAAAUUUAAAUGGAAUGUAUACACCAAUAGAAGCGGAAAAAAGAUGGAAUUAUCUCAAAGAUCGUUAUCGGAAGUCAUUAAAUAGUUACAAAAAAAUUCAGGAAUUUACUCAAAGGAGCGGUGCAGCUGGUACUUCCAAAAAUAAAUUAAUAAAACCAUCAUUUAAGCAUCAUCAUUUUAUUACUUACCGAAUAAUUAUUCAUUAACAAUAAAUGUCUUAUAAAACUA